rnacentral:lncRNA from 1 species
ACUCAGUCUUUAGUAUAAUUAACAACACUAUGGCCAUCUCCCAAAAUAUUCAUUAAACAGUCAGGAACAAUAUGAAAUUCAAAUUAAAAUUGGAAAAGAGAUUAAAUAGAAGUAGUCAUCUCUAAAAGGAAUCAUACUACAUCUGAGAUGAAAUCAUUUGAGCAAUACAAAAUAUGGAAAUACAUUUUGUGUUACAUUUAAUUAUCAUUAAUUCCAGCACUGCAAGCUGGCAGCUAUUUUAGGCUCAUUACAACGACUAAAAUGGGCUAGAAUGUUAAUAUGAAUCUAUCCUCAUUGGAAUAAUGGGAAUAUGUGAAUAUGCUUCAAAGUUAAAGAAAGUUUAAGAGUCAAGUUGAGUUUCAGUUAGUUUCCUAAAUUUUUAAUUGGGGAUACACAUUAUAGAGAAACUGCUGAUAAUAUAUUGAUAACAAUACAAUAAACAAAAAAAGUCCAGUGACAUUUUCUUUCUGAUGAAAUUUUAAAAUAUAUACCCUAUUUUGUGGUUUCUUAAAAGCAAUUUUUGUUUUUGUGCUUUAGUGAAUUUAAACACAAACUUUAAACACACUAUUUCAACACAAAAUGUAAACACACUAAACACACAGUGUUUAGUGACUAUGAGUCAUAGUAUGAAAUGCCUCAAAGGAGGGAAUGCCUAUUGUUUUGUUUGAAGUAAGUAAGCACCCAAACUUGUGGGGAUAUGCUGUUAGAAUAUCUUAUAAAACUACAAGUUUUUAUGAUAUUUGGGACUUCCUGUUCCUGAUUUUUCUACUUGUCUGGCACACUAUUUCUUCAGAGGAUUAUUUAAAUAGAAGGAUUUGAGGCCUGCAUAUACAUGACGUCAGAUGUACAUUAAGUACCAGGAUAUUUCAUUCAUAGCCAGAGCUCAUUAGUUUAUAGUUAAAAUGAAAAAUUUUAAUGUGUGGAAAGAUACUAGUUUAACAUAUUUUGAAAAUUGAUAUAUGCUUAAUUCUUUUACCAGGGAUUGGGUUUUACACGCUGAAGGUGUUAGUAUGGUACUGACUAUUCGGUUCAUUAUGGGGAUGUGUUGUCAUAAUUUUCUAACAGAGCAAGAAUUUUAAAAUGUCCUUAUUUCACUUUCGCAAAAAACAAAAACAAAAACAAAAAAAA